GCAGUAGCCGCGGGAAUACCGAGGGUGCGAGCGUUAAUCGGAUUUACUGGGCGUAAAGCGUGCGUAGGCGGCUUUUUAAGUCGGAUGUGAAAUCCCUGAGCUUAACUUAGGAAUUGCAUUCGAUACUGGGAAGCUAGAGUAUGGGAGAGGAUGGUAGAAUUCCAGGUGUAGCGGUGAAAUGCGUAGAGAUCUGGAGGAAUACCGAUGGCGAAGGCAGCCAUCUGGCCUAAUACUGACGCUGAGGUACGAAAGCAUGGGGAGCAAACAGGAUUAGAGACCCCUGUAGUCCCUGUCUCUUAUAC
rnacentral:rRNA from 1 species